rnacentral:rRNA from 1 species
CGGUAGGGUGCGAGUCGUUAAGUCGGAAAUUACGUGGGACGUAAAGCGUGCGCAGGUCGGUUUUGUAAGACAGAUGUGAAACUCCCCGGGCUCAACCGUGGGACCUGCUAUUUGUGACUGCAAGGCUAGAGUACGGUAGAGGGGGAUGGAAUUCCGCGUGUAGCAGUGAAAUGCGUAGAUAUGCGGAGGAACACCGAUGGCGAAGGCAAUCCCCUGGACCUGUACUGACGCUCAUGCACGAAAGCGUGGGGAGCAAACAGGAUUAGAUACCCUGGUAGUCCACGCCCUAAACGAUGUCAACUGGUUGUUGGGUCUUUACUGACUCAGUAACGAAGCUAACGCGUGAAGUUGACCGCCUGGGGAGUACGGCCGCAGGGUUG